UGGGACGCAAACGUCCCACCUUGCCCAGGGAGGUUUUAAUUUACAGUGUUAAUGUGUGAGAACAAUGUUUUUUGUGAACAACAUUUUUUUCCUUCAUUUUGGCAAUAUAGUAACGUUGGUAGCAACGUGGAAAAAUCGUUGUGGAAAUCUGUUGCAGCUCAAGUCGACUACAAAAUCCACAAUGCAAUUCUGUCACUAGUCGUGGAAAUGGAGUCCCUAGAGAAAGCAAGAACAAGAUGGUUGUCAGGAGUAUUGCAAUAUUAUCAUAAGGAGACGUAUUUUUGGAAAACGGAGGAGGAAUGGAGGGAAAAAGAGAGGGAGAGGAGGUCUAAGAGAAAGAGGGAAGAUUAGGGAGUUCCAGGUGGGGGUGUACACACUGGAGGUCAACAUUGAUGAGCACAUGUAGGAGCCCAUCCGUGUGACGUCCAUCUACACCAGUGAAGGAGGUCUCCUAUAUAAGAAUUUGGCAGUAUGUCCAACCGGCCUCACAACCGCAGACCAUGUGUAACCACGCCAGCCCAGGACCUCCACAUCCGGCUUCUUCACCUGCAGGAUCACCUCAUACCAGCCACCCGGACAGCUUAUGCAACUGAGGAGUAUUUCUGUCUGUAAUUAAGCACUUUUGGGGGGAAAAACUGAUUCUGAUUGGCUGGGUCUGGCUUCCAAGUGGGUGGGCCUGGUUCCCAAGUGGGUGGGCCUAUGCUGCACCCCUGCCCUGUCAUGUGAAAUCCAUAGAUUUAUUUAAAUUGACUGAUUUCCUUAUUUGAACUGUAACUCGUAUUGUUGUUGCAACAAUUUAUAUUUUUGUUCAGUAUAAGAUACCUGUAGCUAGCUAGCUACCUAUUAGCCAUCAUAUUGCUAGCUUUCGUUUCAGCACCUUGCUUGACUGAUCUGUCUUAGCAACAGUAACUAUACGGCGGAGUUGUGGGAGAGAAUUUUUGUUACAUUUUUUAUUUAUUUUAUUAACAACAAAUCAAUACAGGAAGUACAUGUGGGAACACAAUUAUAUAUGAAUAAUAUACAAUGGACAAUUGGGCUAGGGGCGGGGCUGGGG
rnacentral:lncRNA from 1 species